UUGAACGCUGGCGGCAGGCCUAACACAUGCCAGUCGAGCGGAUGAAGGGAGCUUGCUCCUGGAUUCAGCGGCGGACGGGUGAGUAAUGCCUAGGAAUCUGCCUGGUAGUGGGGGAUAACGUCCGGAAACGGGCGCUAAUACCGCAUACGUCCUGAGGGGGAAAGUGGGGGAUCUUCGGACCUCACGCUAUCAGAUGAGCCUAGGUCGGAUUAGCUAGUUGGUGGGGUAAAGGCCUACCAAGGCGACGAUCCGUAACUGGUCUGAGAGGAUGAUCAGUCACACUGGAACUGAGACACGGUCCAGACUCCUACGGGAGGCAGCAGUGGGGAAUAUUGGACAAUGGGCGAAAGCCUGAUCCAGCCAUGCCGCGUGUGUGAAGAAGGUCUUCGGAUUGUAAAGCACUUUAAGUUGGGAGGAAGGGCAGUAAGUUAAUACCUUGCUGUUUUGACGUUACCAACAGAAUAAGCACCGGCUAACUUCGUG
rnacentral:rRNA from 1 species